rnacentral:tRNA from 1 species
GACCGCGUAGUUCAGUUGGCAGAGCAUUGGGCUAGCAUUCCAAAGGUCGUAGGUUCGAUUCCCACCGUGGUCA